rnacentral:rRNA from 1 species
UAGGGAAUCUUCGGCAAUGGGGGGAACCCUGACCGAGCAACGCCGCGUGAGUGAAGAAGGUUUUCGGAUCGUAAAGCUCUGUUGUUAAGGAAGAACGAGUGUGAGAAUGGAAAGUUCAUACUGUGACGGUACUUAACCAGAAAGGGACGGCUAACUACGUGCCAGCAGCCGCGGUAAUACGUAGGUCCCGAGCGUUGUCCGGAUUUAUUGGGCGUAAAGCGAGCGCAGGCGGUUAGAUAAGUCUGAAGUUAAAGGCAGUGGCUCAACCAUUGUAGGCUUUGGAAACUGUUUAACUUGAGUGCAGAAGGGGAGAGUGGAAUUCCGUGUGUAGCGGUGAAAUGCGUAGAAAUAUGGAGGAACACCGGUGGCGAAAGCGGCUCUCUGGUAUGUAACUAACGCAGAGGCUCGAAAGCGUGGGGAGCGAACAGG